AGUACUCCGUUUCUAAAUAUAAGUCUUUGUAGAGAUUUUACUAUGGACUAUAUACGGAGCAAAAUAAGCGAAUCUACCUCUAAAAUGCAUCUUUGUAGAUUCGUAUAUGGUCCAUAGUGAGAUCUGUAAAAGACUUAUAUUUAAGAACGGAGUGAUAUAUUAUAGUACUCUGUAAGUUACAGCCAGCUAACCGUGGGUCAACGACUCAGCGUGCUACCCUUCCCAGCCAAAAAAAGAGAAACCCAAAUUCUCGUUCUCCUCCCGUUCCUUUUCACCGUUCCUUGCCCGAUCCAUAGAUUCAUCCACAUUCGUUGAUAGAUCCUGCCAAGGGAGGAGGACGGGGUGAGAAGGGGGAUUUGCGGCGGAGUGCGGUGGCUGCAUGCUCUCGGCGACGGCAGGUCCUCCAGCUCGACCACACGUGCCUGCUGCUCGCCGCCGCCGUCAAUUGGAUGGCCGUGGAGUUGGGCCCCUUUGAACCUGAGCGGUUCCUCUUCUCCAGAGAGUCCACGGGUGGAGGCGUGUUGUGGGCUUGCUACUUCUGUCAGCUUCCACCUAUGUAAUGUGCUACAACUUUGCAUCAUUACUACUUGCUGCACACCGGCUGAUUCGUCACAGGAACAGGAUGAUGAGACGCGACUGGUUGCUGCUCGGGAGGCGGAAUCUUCAACACCUAACCGAUUGAGGAGAAGAUCUUGUGGAGAGUGGACACAGAAGGCAUGGCUUCGAGGUUUUGGUGGCGCUGUAGGAUGUGAGCUGCAGCCACAGGACAGGAUGAAUAGUGUGGCCCUAGAGUAGACCAUCAGAAACCCUAGAACUCGGCUGCCCGAGAGGCAUAGUUUUGGGGUUUCGGUGGAUCUAUAGGAGGUGAGCUGCAGUUGCACAGGAGGAAUAGCUCGGCCCUAGGGCAGAUCAUCAUAAACCCUAAAACCUGGACUGCUCGAGAGGCAUAUGGCUUUGAGGUUUCGGUAGAACUGUAGGACGUAAACCUGGACAUCUCUUUUGUAUGCAACGUGUCAGGAUUUUUUUACCAUAUUGAUGCUCGUACGUGAACCUUUUUUUGAAGUGGCC